GGGCAUUUAGCUCAGCUGGUAGAGCGUUCCUUUGACGUAGGAGAGGUCACAGGUUCGAAUCCUGUAGUGCCCA
rnacentral:tRNA from 1 species